rnacentral:rRNA from 1 species
AUUGAACGCUGGCGGCAGGCCUAACACAUGCAAGUCGAACGGUAACAGGAAGAAGCUUGCUUCUUUGCUGACGAGUGGCGGACGGGUGAGUAAUGUCUGGGAAACUGCCUGAUGGAGGGGGAUAACUACUGGAAACGGUAGCUAAUACCGCAUAACGUCGCAAGACCAAAGAGGGGGACCUUCGGGCCUCUUGCCAUCGGAUGUUCCCAGAUGGGAUUAGCUAGUAGGUGGGGUAACGGCUCACCUAGGCGACGAUCCCUAGCUGGUCUGAGAGGACGACCAGCCACACUGGAACUGAGACACGGUCCCGACUCCUACGGGAGGCAGCAGUGGGGAAUAUUGCACAAUGGGCGCAAGCCUGAUGCAGCCAUGCCGCGUGUAUGAAGAAGGCCUUCGGGUUGUAAAGUACUUUCAGCGGGGAGGAAGGGAGUAAAGUUAAUACCUUUGCUCAUUGACGUUACCCGCAGAAGAAGCACCGGCUAACUCCGUG